GAUGAACGCUGGCGGCGUGCCUAAUACAUGCAAGUCGAACGAGGUGCUUUUGUAGCAAUACGGAGGUAUCCUAGUGGCGAGCGGGUGAGUAACGCGUUGGUGACCUACCCCAAAGUGUGGGAUAACAGUCCGAAAGGAUUGCUAAUACCGCAUGUGGUCAUCGGGUUUAGAAACCGAUGUCUAAAGCAGCAAUGCGCUUUGGGAGGGACCUGCGUCCCAUCAGCUAGUUGGUGAGGUAACGGCCCACCAAGGCGACGACGGGUAGGGGACCUGAGAGGGUGACCCCCCACAAUGGAACUGAAACACGGUCCAUACACCUACGGGUGGCAGCAGUAGGGAAUAUUGCUCAAUGGGCGAAAGCCUGAAGCAGCAACGCCGCGUGCGCGAAGAAGGCCCUCGGGUCGUAAAGCGCUUUUCUGAGAGAUGAGAAAGGACAGUAUCUCAGGAAUAAGUCUCGGCUAACUACGUGCCAGCAGCCGCGGUAAAAC
rnacentral:rRNA from 1 species